AGCUAUGGCAAUCAUGUGAGAAAUGCUCAGGCCCUAAAGGACAGUGCUUUUGAUGGGUUUAUGUUCUUGUAACAGAGUGAGAUGAGCACAGCCCUUAGCAGGCAGCCAUUGCUGGCCUCAUUACUUCGCACCCUGUUACUAGGCAACAGGUCUCGCUCAGCGCCACAGUGGGCCCUGUCCACAAGCAACCAACUGUCAGUGAGUGACCGUUAGAUGUCCUGCUCAGCUAUUGGUCAGUGCUGCAGUGGGCCCUGUCAACAAGUAACUGUCAAUGAGGGACCAUUAAGGAAGUGAUUCAGCCAAGGGUCAGUGGUGUGCUGGUCAUCAGGUAGACAGUGAGGACACAGAAUAACAGAGAUUUGCAGGAACAUCAUUACCUGACCAUGACCCAACCUCAAGAGCAAAGGAUCUGACACCAAGAAGUUUGCAACAACUAACCACACGCCUCCCUUAGCUUCUGCUUUUAAAGGGGCUUGAUGAAAGCUUUCAGUAACUUCCAGAUGGGAGGGCAUGAGCCUCCCACCUUUUGUAUGAACCUGUAAUAAACCUUUCUCUGUCCGAAAUGCUAA